rnacentral:rRNA from 1 species
GACAGAGGUGCCGAGCGUUAGGCGGAAUCACUGGGCUUAAAGCGUGUGUAGGCGGGCCGUUAAGUAUCUUGUGAAAUCCCCCGGCUCAACCGGGGAAUGGCAUUGGAAACUGGCGAGCUAGAGUGUGGCAGAGGGGGGUGGAAUUCCGCGUGUAGCAGUGAAAUGCGUAGAGAUGCGGAGGAACACCGAUGGCGAAGGCAGCCCCCUGGGCUGACACUGACGCUCAGGCACGAAAGCGUGGGGAGCAAACAGG